AUUGAACGCUGGCGGCAGGCCUAACACAUGCAAGUCGAGCGAGCGGCGGACGGGUGAGUAAUGUCUGGGAAAAUCCCUGAUGUAGGGGGAUAACUACUGUAAACGGUAGCUAAUACCGCAUACCAUCAGAUUUGCCCAGAUGGGAUUAGCUGGUAGGUGGGGUAACGGCUCACCUGGGCGCCGCUCCCUAGCUGGUCUGAGAGGAUGACCAGCCACACGGGAACUGAGACACGGUCCAGACUCCUACGGGAGGCAGCAGUGGGGAAUAUUGCACAAUGGGCGCAAGCCGGAUGCAGCCAUGCCGCGUGUGUGAAGAAGGCCUUCGGGUUGUAAAGCACUUUCAGCGGGGAGGCGUUACCCGCAGAAGAAGCACCGGCUAACUCCGUGCCAGCAGCCGCGGUAAUAC
rnacentral:rRNA from 1 species